CAACUUUCAGCAAUGGAUCUCUUGGCUCUCGCAUCGAUGAAGAACGCAGCGAAUUGCGAUAUGUAAUGUGAAUUGCAGAUCUACAGUGAAUCAUCGAAUCUUUGAACGCACAUUGCGCUCCUCGGUGUUCCGAGGAGCAUGCCUGUUUGAGUGUCAGAA
rnacentral:rRNA from 1 species